ensembl:lncRNA
ACAUCAAAAACAGCAAUGAAAAGGGGUCUCAGUGUGACUGUAAACGGGGUGUCUUUGUAGUCGUUUCCACAGCUCCCUCUAGUGGCCCACCACAAUACAGCACCCUGUUUGGCAACAGGCUCUCUUCUAGUUCCACACCGGCAAGGUAAGAUGCUAUAGGUUGUACAAAUUGAUUGGACAGCAUUUCCUGAACCAAAUGUUACUCUUACUCAAUCAUGAAAGCACCAGGUUGACUACAGUAAUCACUCAUGGUGAACAUAAACAAAAUCAGGAAUAUACCAGCAUGAGAGAUUCUCUUUACUGCAGUAUUUUCAUGAUUUCAAAUCCAUUAAAAUCAGUGAUGCUCCCUUGUCCUCUCCUAGCUCCCCAGGUGUUCCAGAGGUCACUUCUGCUUCUCAGACAUUUGCAAGUGAGCAAAUUUAUUAAUUAAAAAGACCUUUGUGGAUAAAUCAGUAAAGAGCACAAUCCAAAGCACAUUUAGUUUACAUUACUCAUGUCUAUAUUUUUCUCUCUCUCUAUUCCCCUCUGUCUCUUCCUCCCUUCUUCUCUGCAGAUUUUCCCAAUCCAUUCAGCUCUGCAGCCAGUACCUCUCAGCCUGCUCUAUCACCAAGUAAUCCAUUCAACAGUACAGCCAAAAGUGACUGCAGUACAGUUGUGACACCCUCUUCAUCAGCUUUCUUUCCUCACUCCGACUCCUUCCCUGCCCAGAAUGCUUUUCCACACGAGCGAACCAAUAAGCAUGAGGCAAAUGGUUUCACUUCUUUCCCUAUGACUGAGUCAACCACCAAAGUCCAGCGACCGAUGUCUGUCAACCCAUUUACUGUGAGUAGCAGCAACUACUGCUCCCUAGAAAUGUAUGGUUGCACAUUCAAUCUCUCUUUUGCUAACAGUUCAUUUAAAAAAGUCAAAUUGAAUACAGAAUAGUGUAC